rnacentral:lncRNA from 1 species
UCUGGUUUGGAGUAAGUAAUGGUAAUUUGCAAGAUAACAGCAGCUUGAUGUUUGCAAUUCUGGUGAAGAAAAAUAUCAGCUGAACUCACUGUGUGUUUCUUUUUGAGCAACACCACUCUCUGCUCCGAAGAGAAAUUAUAAGUUUGAGAAAGAGUUCAGAAAUAUCUCAGAGCCAUGAUGCACUUAUUAUACCUGGUUGCAGCUGAAUACAGAUAUUGACAGAGACGUCUGAGAGGAGAAACCAAGAUCGUUUAUGACUAUGUCCUCAUUAGGAUCUCAAAUUUCACGGGCACCACAAGGCUACCCCAACUCAGAUUUAAUCAGCAGCAGACACCCAUCAGAAGGAAGGAAGGGCCAUCCCUGCCCCCUGGUAAGCCCUCCCAUUAAUGAAAUAUUCACCAAGAAAACAGGGCCAGGAUACAAACAAACAGUACUGGCCACGGCCUCACCGCGCUUCUAACCUCCUGUGAUCUUUGGCUUCUGUUCAGUAAUUGUAUUUAUUUUGAUUUCAUUAAAAAAUGUGAGAGAUG